AGCCAAGAAUACAUCGCAUUAGUCAUCAGGAAACAUACAAGUACACAAUUUGCAAAAGGAAAAAAGAAAAGGAAAACAGUGCAUUUUUAAAACAUCUUAGUGCAUUAACUCCUCCCCCAUACUUAAUUAGGAUAAUAAUUUACACCUGGCUCUUUGCUGGUUUUCUUUUCUAUUCUCUGCCCCCUCCUUCCCCAAUGCUGCUUCAGAUUGGUUUCACAAGUGUUGGAAGGUUUUUCUGCGUCUGCGGUGAAUACCAAGUACAGGUGACUGCAACCGCAGGCUGACAAUCCUGUGUAGAACCAACAUUGCUAUCUUACCCUCUAAAAAAUAAUAAUGUUGACCUAGAUAAGGCACCUGCAAUAACACACGGACGGCAGCUGGGGAAGCACUGCAGACACCAUCAGGAAGCAUUGGCUACGGAAAGAAGAGCUCCCUGAACCUGAUAAGUAAUCUUGGCUGCUGUUAAUUUCAGAAUUUGUCAUUUGCAUUUUGCCCUUAAACUGGAGGACACUGCCUGAGGCAGAUUCUGAACAGAUGCUGUGCAAACUCAUCCUGCUGCUUUGAACGGAUUUAGGAACAAGCCUUCUUCAGGCCUAGCCCUGUGCUGGCCGAUUGCCACCCCCUCCAAUGAAGUUGAUUGCUUUCCAGGUGAAAUCCCAUCCAAGCGUGGCUGGCUCCCAGCUCUUGAGUUCAGCUUUCUCUUCGGUGGGCUUCCUGGUCAGGACCCCCAGCAUCUCCUUCCCAAGGUCUCUUCUGCGUCAGAACCCAGCGUCUCCUGCUGACUGUGACCCCCCACUUCCCCCCUGCCUUCCUGGCCUGGCCCCCAUCCCCCACUAAGCCAGCGCUAUCCUCCUAAACAUUGGACAGGCUCUGACUCUGGAUGUGACCGGAUGCGAAAUGAAGAGGACUGGACAGAGUGCCUAGGCAUUGGGAGGACAUUCAUCUGACGAACAUUGAUUGAGCACCUGCUGUGUGAGAGACACUGGGUCCUGGGGAUACCAAGACGUAUGACACCAUUCCUGCUCUCAGGUGGGAGGGAUAAGACUAAACGGCAAAAAGUGUCACUUGAUGAGAAACAAAGUGCCUUCAGAGGGCGGAACCAUUGCUGGCAUCACAUGUCCCCCCAGCAAAGCCACAGUGUUACCUGGGUUAGUAACUGGGCCUGGAGUUCCCUUCUGUUAAAUGGGACAGAAAUCUACACCUCAAAGACAAUACCUGGCGCUUUUCACAUCAAUGCAUGUGUAUAUGUCGGCACCUGCCUUUUACGCGUAAACCCGUAUCACGGCAUUUUAUGGUCAUUUGUUAGUGUGUAAGCUUCACGUUGGUGGUGAAGAUCGGGGAGAGUGAUGUUCACAGGUGUGGGAUAGGUGUGUCAUUUUGAAUCUUUAGGGUUAGCUGCAAUCUGUGCUUUCUUGUUAUGGCUGGUCCUUGUCCGCAUAUGUGCGUGCUAGAGAGAAGGGGAGAGAGAAUGGGUGGCCUGGGAUAGAAAAUGGUUCCUGCUGACUCACAUGAUCCGUUUUCUCAUUGCCUGAGUUUCUAGCGAGAUCAGCCAGAAGAAAAAUCAGAAUGAGAAAGGGUUUCCUGGUAGAAGAGGAGACCAUUUUCGGGGUGUGGUAUGUGAUUUAAGAUUUGGUGCCCUGGUCCUGAGAUGGGAUGAGGUGUGCUGUUUGGGUACAUGUGUGGCUUCUCUGUGGUCCAGCUGUUCCAGGGGUCAGCAUGCAUGCUUGCCGGCUGGAAGGCCACCCUGGGACAGGGGACACGGUGGUCCUGGGAGGCCCCCUGGGUGGGAAGGGGAGCAGUCGUUGCUGGGCACUUUUGCCUCAGGGGGACACAGCACG